rnacentral:rRNA from 1 species
GAUGAACGCUGGCGGCGUGCCUAAUACAUGCAAGUCGAGCGAACAGAUGAGGAGCUUGCUCCUCUGACGUUAGCGGCGGACGGGUGAGUAACACGUGGAUAACCUACCUAUAAGACUGGGAUAACUUCGGGAAACCGGAGCUAAUACCGGAUAAUAUAUUGAACCGCAUGGUUCAAUAGUGAAAGACGGUUUUGCUGUCACUUAUAGAUGGAUCCGCGCCGCAUUAGCUAGUUGGUAAGGUAACGGCUUACCAAGGCAACGAUGCGUAGCCGACCUGAGAGGGUGAUCGGCCACACUGGAACUGAGACACGGUCCAGACUCCUACGGGAGGCAGCAGUAGGGAAUCUGCCGCAAUGGGCGAAAGCCUGACGGAGCAACGCCGCGUGAGUGAUGAAGGUCUUCGGAGCGUAAAACUCUGUUAUUAGGGAAGAACAAAUGUGUAAGUAACUAUGCACGUCUUGACGGUACCUAAUCAGAAAGCCACGGCUAACUACGUG